UUGCUUGUCUGCAAGCGUUGGAGGUCAGCGGCAGUGCACUGGGCCUCGGUGUUCGGUUCCCGGGUCCUCCAAGUUCCAUUCCCAGGCGGGUCCGGGCUCAGGGGCCCGAGCAGACUCGCUGUGUCCUCCGGUCGCUGUGCUGAAGCCGCGACGCACGUACAGCCGGAGUGUGACGGGUCGACCCCGGUCACCCAGUCCCGGGCGUGGAGCGUGCGUCGGACGCAGGUCGGGGGCGUGGUCUCCGCCGGGGCCCCUGGUCAAGGACCGGGAACGAGGGAAGGGCUCUGGGCCCCAGGCUGGGGUUCGAAUGUCGACUCCGCCCCAUGACGUCUAGCGUACCGCUCAGCAUUUCUCAGGGCCUGGGUGCCAUCCCGGUGAAAGGGGCCGUGGCAGGCCCACUAGGGUCUGCUGCGCGGCCCGCUCAGCCCCUGCCCUGGGUAGCAGGUGUGGCGGAGGAAGGGCAAGACGGGAGGCAUCUCAGAGCGCUGUGGGGCCCGGAAGGCCAGAGUCCGGUUAUUUUUAACCACCCGCGCCCCCUCCCCCUUCGGGGAGUUGGAAGGCUUCUGUCUGGGGCCUGUGCGAUCCGAGUCCACUUUAGAUAGGAGGUAUUUAAAGCGCUUUACAGUUUGUGAGUUGAUUCUUGGUUCCUCCGGAAACGGGUGACAAUAUUGAUCACCGAUAAGGAGACUAAAAAUGGCUUCAGGGCCUUGGUGGGUCAUCACCCUAGCCUUUGACCAACCCAGGCCCCAGAGCCCUCUUGUCCUAUUUUUAGUCUGGCCAAAUUGGGGGCGGUGUUGGGGCUGAGUCUCGAAGUGAUUCAGGCUUUAGCUGCUCUAGGCAUCUGGUCACCUGGCAACUGAGCCGUGGGCACCCACAGCUGAGCAGGGAGGGCAGAAGUCCUUGGUGCCCAAGAUGGCUCUGGGCCCAUGGUCAUCUGCUCAGGCAUCUGCACAGAAGACGGUUCUGCCUGGUCAGGUACUGCCUGGUAUGUGAGCUUGUGCUUUGGUCACACACCCCCUCAGCUCUCAGGGCCUGAGGGCAGGAUUUCCCCUGGAAGAACCUGAGGCUGGAGCUUGGUGGCCUGGGUCUGGGAAGGAUCUCUGCCUCUGCUUCCCGAGUUCUAACCAACGCUACAGUUCUGGGCUCCUCGCUUGUGAAUCCUUCCUCACCACUGCCUGUGCCAUUUUACAGGCAGACAGACCAUGGCAGAGUUCUCCCAGAAACGGGGGAGGCAGCGUGACGAGGUCCUGGGCAGCACUGUGGACUUCCUCCUGGCCAAUGCCCGCCUGGUGCUGGGCGUUGGUGGGGCCGCUGUGCUGGGAAUUGCUACCUUGGCUGUGAAGCGGCUCAUCGACAGGGCCACCAGCCCUCGAGACGAGGAUGAUGCCAAAGGGGACACCACAUGCCUGGAGGAGAGCUGGAAGGAACUGACCCUACUCAAGACCACGCCACGCCUGCAGCCCCGGACCCCACCUGCUGCCCUCAGCCAGCCAGCAUCGCUCCCCGCCCCCUUGCCAUCUGCCCCCGAGGGGCCCUCAGACACGGAGCCUCAGCCGUUGCCUCAGCCGAGCUCCCCAGCACCGCUGUGCCUGACGUUUCAGGAGAAGCUGCUGGCGUUCGAGCGGGACCACGUGACCAUCCCAGAGGCCCACGUGGCUCUGGCCAAGCAGCUGGCCGGUGACAUCGCCCUUGAGCUGCAGGCCUACUUGCGGAACAAAUUCCCAGAACUGCCCUUCGGGGCCCUUGUGCCCGGCGGGCCGCUCUAUGACGGGCUCCAGGGGGGGGCCGCCAGCCGCGUGCGCCUCCUGGUUCCCCUGGUGCUGGAGGUGGGCCUGUGGGGCCUGGUGCCUGGCGUGGACACCGUGGCCAGGGACCCUCGCUGCUGGGCCGUGCGCAGGACUCAGCUUGAGUUCCGUCCCCGCGGGAGCAGCCCCUGGGACCGCUUCCUGGUGGGCGGCUACCUCUCCUCCCGGGUCCUGCUGGAGCUGCUCCGCAAGGCCCUGGCCUCCUCCGUCAACUGGCCGGCCAUCGGCGGCCUCCUCGGGUGCCUGAUCCGGCCCAGCGUGGCCUCGGAGGAGCUGCUGCUCGACGUGCAGCACGAGCGCCUCGAGCUCACCGUCGCCGUGCUCCUGGCGGUCACCGGUGCCGACGCCGAAGACCGCCUCCUUCUGGCCUGGCCCCUGGAGGGGCUGGCCGGGAACCUCUGGCUGCAGGACCUGUACCCUGCAGAGGCCGCCAGGCUGCGGGCCCUGGACGAGCGUGAUGCCGGAACCCGCCGACGGCUGCUGCGGCUGCUGUGCGGGGUCUGCCGCGGCCACCCGGCCCUGGGGCGGCUGGACCGCUGCCAUCUGACCCAGGUGGUUCUGCGCCUGGGGGAGGAGGAGGUGGACUGGGCCGAGGCGGCCCUGGGGGAGCGCUUCCUGCAGGCCCUGGAGUCGCUCAUCGACAGCCUGGAGCGGGCCAGCCUGCCCUGCCACUUCAACCCCGGCGUGAACCUCUUGAGCGGCCUGCGUGAGGAGGAGAUUGACGACAUCGGCUUCGCGCUCUACAGCGGCCUGCAGGCCCCCGAGUGUCUGCUCUAGAUGGGUGGGGACAGGGCGGCCGGCACUCGUGCUGAUGCUGGUGAGCUGUGUGCGCCUCCCCUCCAGGAAUUUGGAGAGCACUUUUUCUCUUGCUUUAGCCAGAAUAGAGGAGGGUGCUCUAAGUCCGCGGGGUUAGCAUGUCCCGGGCAGCAGUCCGGGGAGCCCCAAGCCCGGGCCUCUGGGGCAGCCGGCCUCUCCCGCCCCGUCAGCCCUCGGGCCGACCCUAGGACCUUGGGCUCGGUCCGUCGUCACCAGCAGUGAACGCACUGACAGAACACGGCUUCUGCUGUCCUAGGCAGGGGAUAAAGGCAGCUCCGUUUUUCUGUCGAGAGGGGGCCGGAGUCACCUGGUACCCCCGGAUUGCAGCUUUGGGGCUGAUUUAAAGGCCGCGUCUCCCGAUGUCACCUGCGUGUCUAGUUGGCUUGUCGAGCUCUCCCCUCUAGCCUGGAACAGGAGCUCAGUCUGGCGUGCUGCCCACCUCCUACCUCAGGGGAAGGCCCCUCUCCCUCCAACCGGGCCAUUUUUCUCUUUGGGCAGAGAGGCCCCUGGGAGAGCCCCCUUCCGCUGCUGGGGGAGCCAAGGUUCCCUGUGCUGCCCACCUUGCCUAGAGGCAGGGCUGUCCGACUAGCUGCUGCUGGGUCCGGCCGGAGAGCGGAGGCCGCGCCUUCCCAGGGAAGCCGGCUGAGCGGGCCUGACCUCCACAGUGCCAACCUGAACUGCUCCCCGCUGACGCCUGUGUCCUCACUGAAGCCUGGCAGAGGUGGAGAGGGAGGGCCGCCCCACCUCCCAGGCAUCCCUCCCGUCUUUGGUAUCCUUCUUGCUGAAGCAAAGCUAUGCCUCAAAGAAUGCGAAUGAGAAUAAAAGGAAAAAUUCAAA